rnacentral:tRNA from 1 species
GGGGUCUUAGCUCAUUUGGUAGAGCGAUUGCUUUGCAAGCAAUAGGUAAUCAGUUCGAUUCUGAUAGGCUCCA